rnacentral:rRNA from 1 species
AUACGUAGGGGGCGAGCGUUGUCCUGAAUGAUUGGGCGUAAAGGGCGCGUAGGCGGCUUUGCAAGUCAGUAGUGGAAGUCCAUUUUUCAAGGAUGGAAGUGCUACAGAAACUGCGGAGCUUGAGUGCAGGAGAGGUUAUCGGAAUUCCCGGUGUAGCGGUGAAAUGCGUAGAGAUCGGGAGGAACACCAGUGGCGAAGGCGGGUAACUGGACUGCAACUGACGCUGAGGCGCGAAAGUGUGGGGAGCAAACAGGAUUAGAUACCCUGGUAGUCCACACUGUAAACGAUGAAUGCUAGGUGUAGGAGGUAUCGACCCCUUCUGUGCCGCAGUAAACACAGUAAGCAUUCCGCCUGGAGAGUACGGUCGCAAGAUUAAAACUCAAAUGAAUUGGCGGGG